CUGAGACAGCCCCUACUGGAGCACCUCCUGGGGAGCAGCCAGAUGUCAUCCCCGCCCAGGGUGACCUGCUGGGUGACCUCCUCAACCUGGACCUCGGUCCCCCAGUGAGCGGCCCACCCCUGGCCACCUCCUCGGUGCAGAUGGGAGCUGUGGACCUUCUUGGCGGUGGCCUUGACAGCCUGAUUGGGGGCACCAACUUCGUGGCACCUCCAACAGCAGCAGUACCAGCCAAUCUUGGAGCACCCAUUGGCAGUGGCUUGAGUGACCUCUUUGACCUGACCAGUGGCGUGGGCACCCUGUCAGGAUCAUAUGUGGCCCCCAAAGCAGUCUGGCUCCCAGCCAUGAAGGCUAAGGGGCUGGAGAUCUCGGGCACCUUCACGCGCCAGGUGGGCUCCAUCUCCAUGGACCUGCAGCUGACCAACAAGGCCUUGCAGGUCAUGACCGACUUUGCCAUCCAGUUCAACCGCAACAGCUUUGGCCUGGCCCCCGCCGCCCCCCUCCAGGUCCACGCGCCACUCAGCCCCAACCAGACAGUGGAGAUCUCCCUGCCUCUCAGCACGGUGGGCUCGGUCAUGAAGAUGGAGCCUCUGAACAACCUCCAGAGGUGGCGUCAAGCCCCAGAGACUGACUGGGGACCCCCUUGUGCCUAGGUGGCCGUGAAGAACAACAUCGAUGUCUUCUACUUCAGCACCUUGUACCCACUGCACAUACUCUUUGUGGAGGAUGG
rnacentral:sRNA from 1 species